ensembl:lncRNA
AGUUUUAUUGAAGUAUAGUUGACUUCCAAUGUUGUGAUAAUUUCUGUUGCACAACAAAGUGAUUCAGUCAUACAUGUACACACAACCAUUCUCUUUCAGAUUCUCUUCCCAUAAAGAUGAUUACAGCAUACUGGAUAGAGUUCUCUGUGCUUUACAGCAGGUUCCCACUGACCAAUCAUUCCAUAGAAUGAUUCACCUGUGCCUCCUUUUAAGGCUCUCUUGGAGAGAUGAAAAUGAUGAAGAUGUGAAGAUGCUGCCGCUAAUGAAGAUGAUGCCCAAGUUUAUAAAUACUCAACUGUCUGUUUGGCUUUGUGUUGACAGUACAUAUCAUCUGAAUGAAACUUUACCUAUAUUCCUGCACAGACUGUAUUAUUUUAUCCCUAUCUUAUAAACGAAAGAAUGCAAGUUAACAGAAUAAAUAAUGUGCCCAAUAUAAUAAAGUUAAUCAGUGAAGGGAUGGGAUUUGAAUCCAGUCUAUAGUAUGCCCUUAAUUGUACAAUUGUAGAAGCUGGGGUGCCUAAGUUUGGGAGACACUAGUCAGAAUGCGUGAUAUGUCCCAAGUCCCACUACCAAGACAUUAUUUCUUACUGCCAAAAGAAACAGACCAAAACCAUCUCAUUCUCUGAUCCAGUAGCAAGGGGGACAAAACUGCUUAUCUUGCACAUAAAAAAAAGCCAAAAAACAAAACACACACAUGCAAUGACAACAACAAAAAGAACACCUCCCCCAUCAUAUCUGGACGAUUAGUCUCGCAUUUGGGAAGCAAAAACAAUGACUCUAGUUGGCUGUCAAAUGAAGUAUAUUAAAUUUCUUGUUCCUGAGACAAAUCCCAUUGAUCUGUUUUACUUAGACAUAAUCUCUAUAGAGUUGACUUCAUAACUUAAGUUUAUGACUUUAUCAAAUGAUGCAGAAAAACCAGCCCAAAAGCUAAAUGAUUAUAUUAUGCACAUUACAGAGUACUACGUUCAUGGCAGGGCAGUUGACUACACAAACAGGGAAUUUAUCACCCUGAUACAGGUGGGCUAAUGCAGGGUUCGGUUUCAGUUGUCCUGGAAGAGGCUGUGUCAUAGCCCUGAGAGAUAUAUGACAGCCAGACAACUGAACCUUGGACAUUUACAGCACUCCCACUGCAGGCCAAACACUGGGAUCCAAGGUCAACAAGGUGGAGAUGGCCUUAGCCUUCAAGAGCUUGCCUUCUAGCAGGGGAAAAAGGCAAUGAACAAGUAAACAAGCAUAUACAUAUGUAAUUGCACCUUAAGAAAAGGAAUAUGAAAUAACUGACUGUGAAAUAGCACUCUUGGAGGGGAAGGGGAGACUUCGCACAAUAAAGGGGCUCUUAAGGAGGUGACACUUAAGCUGAGCCCUGAUGGACAAAUAAAGAUGAGGGAGGGCCAUUCAGGGCACAUGAAAGCACAUGAACAAACAGAAGCUGCAACGCAGAAGACAAACCUCAGAGCAGCACAGGAAGUUGCAGAGCAGGGUAGGAAUCAGCCCAAGUAGAUGUGAGAUGAAUGAACUGUGCAUUCCUCCAAGAGCAGAAAGAAGAGCAAGACCAUUAUAGGCUCUAGUGAUCCAGGAAGGGAAAAAGAUCCAAAAACAGAGACCAACUCUCAGAGGCUGAGAUCAUGGCACAGCCGCACCAUCAAUCACUUCAAGAGAUAAAUAGACAGUGAAUCAGGGUACCUAGGACUUUCACAUAACAGUCCCUCUCCCAACCUGCAUCCUGGCUGGAUCUACUUCCCAGCGUUAGCUCUGAGGGACACACCUGUAUUCUCCAAAUAAAUGCCUGCCUUUGCCCAAAGAGAAUCGAUGUGAAUUUCUACUCUUGCCACCCAACGAUCCUUGACUGGUGAAACGAGGGUGCUGAGGGCAUUUAGUCUAGAAAAUGUGACAAUCUCCAAUUUAACAAGUAAUUAACAAGCACAUGUUCUGUGUUCUGUGGAGGGAAGCAAAGAUGAAUAACAAUUCCUGUCUCUGAAGACUCUGC